rnacentral:lncRNA from 1 species
CUAACCCCGAGGGAACACCGGUGUGAGCGGGCAGUGAAGCGUACAUUCCCAAUCGCAUCCCAAACUUCAGACACGCGGGGUUUUAAAGGAGUCAGGCAGCGCCUUUGCGAGUGACAUUUGCGAUCACCAUGUGGUGAGCAGAGGAAACUCCCCUCUCCUCCACCCUCCUGUCAGGAGCCCUCGCUAGGAGCAGAGGUCUCUCAAAGCGCUAGGGGUUACCUUUCCCACCCCCGCUAUCUCCUGUCUCUCAGGAAUUAGGGAAUCAAAGGCUUCUUCUCCAACAACGGCUUUACUACAGCCAACGGGAGACGGACAGUGCCACAGCCGAACUCGGACGCUCUUAGAUGGGGUGACCACACGUUUCUGUGAUCACAAUUGAGUGCAGACAAUCUGUAGCCCUCACCCAGGAACAGAGAAGAAAGGUUCACAGAGCUCCUCACUGAAAGAGCUAAGCUAAGAAACUCUUAGUUACACCCUUUGCAGGACUAGGGAUAAUACAGGGUUUCUCCCUCAUUCCUUAAACGAGUUCUUUCACUUCUGAUGCGGUAAGGUAUUCUGUAAUAACGUCACGUAAAGUACAAAGGAAGAAGGAAAGAUGGAAUUUCUUAAAACCAAAUAAUUGCCCACUACAGUUUGACUCAUUUCCUAAGUUUAAGUUUGCCCCUUUGCAAAUGUGGUGUGUCUGUAAGAAGAAAACUUUGAGAGUUGCAAACAAAAGCAAAGAGAGGUUGAACAGAAUGAGACAAAUAAAUUACUGCAGAAGUGCCAUGUGACCUUCCGCCUGGAAGUUUCUUUCCUUUUGCCAAAGAGAGAACCUGAGACACAUCUUUAGUUUUCCAAGGACAAGUUUGAGGUUGAAAGAAAAGCAAUUUCCUACUUCUGGUCAAAUGAGGAACAGCGGGGACUCAGAUUGCUCCUACUUCACGUAAAUAGCGAUGAUAUGCUCUGUAAGCACUCUUCGCCUGCAGGUAUAAGUUGGUAGAAGUCCACAAGACUUCCCAUAUCAGUUCAUCACCUUAAAAUUUUACCUCCUACAAAGAUCUACCAUCUAGGCAGUCCUGGGCAUGCCCCCUCUGUCCUUUCAGCCCUUGAAAGCCAGAGGAAAAGCAAUGUUGUGCAGCCAAUGCCUACACAUGGCACGACAGUGAUGCAUGUGGCCACGGGCCAAAUAAUCUGUUGCUGUAAGUGGGUGUGUCUUCAUUUGGAUCUCCUCUAAUGCACUACCGGAAAGUUGUGGAGGAGGAGGUGGUUUUCAGAGCUGUUCCACCUGCUGUGGAGGUGCUGCCAUAGGGCUAGGUGGAGCCUGGGGUCCCUUCUGAGAACUCUGCAGCUCCUGCAUGGUUAUGAGAUCGAUGACGGCCCUCAGGUCCUGUAUUGUCACUGGAGCAGCUGCGGACCUCAUGCCCUGGAGAUGGAGGGCCCAGAGCAGGGUUAGUCACCCUGUGCUCAGGCCCACUGUUCCCAGGCCCAGCUGAUUCCUAUCAGUACAGAUUAACAGGAUUGGGCUCUGCCAGAACUGAAAUGGUCCCAACUCUGCCCUCAGGAAGGAUGCUGGGAUUACAGUCAUGGCCCCACAGUCAGGGUGGCCAAACCCAGCUCCUCGCCUUCUUUUCCUGUGGCCCCAUGUCCCCCUGCCAACGUGAGAUAAUUGGGAAUAACGGCAGCAACUCCCAUGAGAUCAGAACUUUGCUUUUCUCUCACAGCUGGAACUUCUGCCCCUUCCCCCCACCAGUCCCAGCCCUGGUAUAUUCAGCCACAGUUAUCUCUGCUCGCGCACUGACUGUAUUUUUCAUGUUUAUUAUCAACCAACACAGUGUAGUGCCAUCUGGCACACGCGCACACAGGGGGGAAGAAAACCAUAUAUUCAGGAAAAUGGAGCAUACAGAGUUUAGGUUUUGUUGUCUUGUUUUUUUCUUAUUCUUCCAGUUUCAGUUGAAAAUUAUGCAGAAGGGAAAGCUAAGCAUUUCACCCAUGUGAAAAAUGAUCGGAAAUCCCGGUUAUGAAAUUUAAAAUGACUUGAGAGCGGUGAUGCCAAGAAAGUACAAGAACAUUCCUUCCACUGAAAUACACUUUUAUCUUUUCUCCUGUGUUUCACUUCACCUUAUGUUCAGAUAAGGAAAAGAAUUACUUCUGAAACGUUGCAAUAGCUAUUUUUAACCAGGAUUUGUUCUGGUCUUUCAGAUUCCUUUUUUGACCAGAAAAUAUUUAUUUUGGGCCAGCAGCACGUAACAAACCACACUCCUUCUAAGCACAAGAACACUGUGAGCCAUGAUGCAGUGCUUGAGACCUUUGCUGUUCUCGCUGAUGCCAUAACAGUAGGCAUGAAAAUGCACCUCACCUACAUAGUAGGUAUAAAAACACAUGUAGCGCUUUCCAUGAAAGCUAGCACCUAAAGCACUGCCACCUUGUUUCACAGGCAGAUUUGUAGCAGAGUUACAUAAUCAAAGCAUGUUCAUUACCUGAUCAUUGAUGCACUGUAAGAUUAUCAGUAGAUUUUCUUGUGGAAAAAAAAUACUACAAAGUCUACCAUAAUUCUUGAUGCAUUUUCUUUCUUUCUUUCUUUCUUUCUUUCUUUCUUUCUUUCUUUCUU